GUUAAAGCCAGAUCUUGUCAUUCGGGUUUAAGGUUUAGUCUGUGGCGCUCAUAUUUGCUUGUACUGAAAAUUAACAUAAAGAAAUCAUAAGUUUGUUGAUCGCUAGUGCAAACCGUCAUGUCCAUGUUUAUGCUGAAGAUAUAUUUUAUAGUUGCUGCAAUACAAAUCGUACAGGCGACAAACGAAAAUGUUCCUAGAGCCAAACGGUAUGAAAAUGGAUAUGGGUGGAACUGGAGUUCUAUUAGUUUACAAGACACAACGCCAGUAAGUAAAAUAAAAUGCAUAUUAAAAUAUUUAUUUUUGCAAUUAGACCUUUGCAGGCACUUUUACAAUUAAUCAACAAAAAAAUACAAAUAUAUUACAUCUCUAGAUUUUUUUAAUAAGAAAAUUAUUUCAUAGAGGCAUAGGUAAUGUAACACAUUAUACAAAAUGAAGGUGAUAGAAUGAGUGAACUGUAUGUGUCAUGUAAAUCAAACAAUGGAUAGAAAAUGGUAAAUACUUAUAAUGAAGAUUGGUACUUGUACAAACGGUUGUAGGCAAAAAGUGACAAUAAAAAUAUAUGACAAUUCUAAAUUAAAAUACAUUUAAAAUCGAUAGAAAAAUAAACAUAUAAAAAUGUGCAAAGAGUUUGCAACACACAAUACUAUUUACAUUAACGGUACGCUUAACCAUUAUAGUUAUUUCUAGUUUGUAUUUACAUUUAUUAAAUAUUUUAUAUCUAAUGAUAUAAAUAAUACCACGCAAUAAAAACCUACAUAAUAUAGUUUACUUACGGACAUUCAGGCCAAAAACCGUGAUUUCAAAUAAAUAUUAAUAGAAGUUAUCUUUAUUCAAAUAAACUUUUAACUAGUCAUAUUUUAU